ACGGCUGCGAAAUGGGACGCGCAGCAGUAUGGUGUCCCUCGGCGCAAACUCUGUUAUUGUAUACCGAGUGGUGUUUAUAAUAGUAGAACACUUAGUGCAGUAAAUUAAACACAAGACAAAUAACACAACAUGAGUACAAAGACAAACUUCACUGUUAAACCCAUCACCCGGC